CCCCCUGCAACACCUCUCCCUCUCGCAGAAGCUUGGCGAAGCCCUGCCGAGAUCCCGCUACUUCCACCACCACGCCGUCGUGCUGCUCGAUCUCCAUCAACCUCUCCUUCCCCCUUGCUGGAUCAAGAAGGAGGAGACGUCGCUGCUCCGUAUGUGUGUUGAACGCGGAGGUGCCGUCCGUUCGGCACUCGGUCAUCGGUGAUUUGGAUCACGGCGAGUACGACUCCAUCAACCCCGUUCAUUGGAACGCUUCCGCUCGCGAUCUACAAGGGUAUGUAGAUGCACUCCUUUCCCCUAGUUGCUAGUAUACUCCAUAGAUGGAUCUUGGUGAUGCGUAGGAAAUUUUAAAAUUCUGCUACGAUCCCCAUCAGUUUUACCAUGGGUGCCCGCUCGGCCGUUAAGCCAAAGGCGGUCCCCCAGAUUGCCAAAAAUCAUCUCCGCAUCGGCCCCGAAAACUUCGAUAAGAUGGAUCCGACAGAUGUCUCGUGUUUGAAUGAACUGCUAGAUCGCUUCGCCGCCGUAGGGGUCGCAACAGAUUAUGAUCUGAUUGGGCUUAAACCCGAUCAGAGGGAAAUCAGGUCCCCGCCUGUCACCCAUCUGGUGACGGUUGUGGAGGAGCAAGCUGAGGAUACCUCUCCUACUAUGCUGAGAACAAGCUAUGUUCGGACCUCUGAGCCUUGCGAGCCGGACACGCAUCUUCGAGAAGAGACCAUCUGUCCUCCGAACAUAGAACCAGGCGUUGAGCCUGAAAACUCCCAGGACACUCCGGAUCCUGUGCCGGUGACCUGAGAAAUUCUUCAAGCUCCGGAUCCCACAGUGGGUCAGGGUUCGGAUUUAAGCCCGCCCACCCACCACAAGCAAUACUCCCCAAGCAACUCCGGUCCUUCAGACAUAUGCGAUCUAAUGUAUGUGUGGUAGCAACCUCACGAAACAGUCCAUCACUUCUGGGCCAGAUUCCUCCUUGUUAAAAACAAGAUCAAAGAUUGCUGCAAAGACGACGCGGUGUCAGUAUUUUGCCACAACUGUAAGGACGAGGGGAUCCUCAAUGCCCUCAACCGACGCCGCAUACGACACUUUGCAGAUUUGGCACACAUAGUACAGAAGUAUUGCGCAAUGGAAAGCACCUGAAAAGCCCAGACAGCCCGGUGGGAACCGCCUGCCUUUAAGCCACCCCCCGGACGGGUAAAAAGGAUGCACCCUCACGGGGCACCUAAUCAUCAUUCCACGGACAAGAAAAUUGAGCCCUUAACGGGACACAGAACUGUCCUUGAUGAAUGGCUCGACAAGCCCUAUCGGAUACACACGAUGCCGAAUUCCGAACCAACACAUAGCCUUCGGGCAUGUUGGGUACUACGGCAGGUGGCUAAGAGCGGUGAGGCCAUCCUCACCAACACUACCCCAGAGAAGUACUCUUCGGAGGAUAACGAUCUCAAUGUAUUUACGGUCUUCGAGACCUUCUCUUCAAAUAAUUGGCGCAAAAGGGCGCUCCGCGACCUCGCCGAAGUCAACCAAGUAGCCGCAAUAAAUCCUUGGAACGAUAUGGCGAUAACUUUCAACGCUAAUGACGAACCAAGGGCCCGAUCAGUCCGAGCACCAGCUGCUUUGGUCCUAAACCCAAUUGUGGAUGGCUUUCGGCUCACUAAAGUGCUCGUGGACGGCGGCAGCGGACUGAACCUCAUCUAUGAGGACACGCUCGAUAAAAUGCAAAUGGACAAGAGCCACAUCGAGCAGAGCAGUACAACCUUUCGAGGCAUUAUCCCCAGUCGAGAAGCGUGAUGUUCAGGGAAAAUUAAACUCGAGGUGGUAUUCGGCACGCCGGAGAACUACAGGUCCGAAGAGUUAAUCUUCCACGUGGCACCUUUUAACAGCGGAUAUCACACUCUAUUGGGGCGAGACGCAUUCACACGCUUUCAAGCCAUACCCCAUUACGGGUACAUGAAACUCAAAAUGCCCGGGCCCAACAGAGUUAUCACUAUCACCAGUGAUCCGGACAUAGCACUCCGCGCCAAAAACAAAACCACAUCCCUGGCCCUCGAGGCAUUAUCCGAGGCCCUCGCGGCCGAGGAACCCACCGCUCUGCGCUCCACAGUGGACAGAGACGAUGUAAUCCUCGAUAAUAGGCCUAAGUCUACUUCUUUCAAGCUAGGAGAUGAAAUAGUCAAAUUUCUAGUUCACCUGAUGGAUCCUAAUAAAACAACAGCCAUUGGAGCACAGCUAGAUCCGACGGUCGACACCGCUCUAAGAGCAUUCCUGCGCGAGAAUUGGGACAUCUUUGUUUGGCAUCCUUCGGAUAUGCCAGGAAUCCCACGCGGACUGGCCAAACACAGCCUCAACAUAUUAAAGGGGUUCAAGCCAGUCAAGCAAACGCUGCGACGAUUUUCCGAGCCCAAGCGACAAGCUAUGGGGAGGAGCUAGCCAAACUACUAGAGGUCGGGUUCAUCAGAGAGAUCAAACACCCAGACUGGCUAGCAAACCUGGUCAUGGUGCCAAAGAAGGACAAAUCCUGGCGCCUCUGUGUCGAUUUCAAAGACCUCAACAAGGCUUACCCUAAGGACCCCUUCCCACUACCCCGCAUUGACCAAAUCAUUGAUGCAACCGCAGGACACGAUUCAUUGUGCUUCCUCGACGCGUACUCCGGAUACCAUCAAAUUAAGAUGAAGGAAUCUGAUCAGGCUGCAACGGCAUUCAUCACUCCGUAUGGGCCUUUCUGCUUCAACACUAUGCCUUUCGGACUAAAAAACGCCGCGCCACUUACCAAUGCAUAAUUCAAACAUGCCUGGAAAAACAAAUUGGCAAGAUGGUGGAGGCAUACGUAAUGAUGUAGUCAUCAAAACCAAACAUGUCGAAUCAUCGGUGGAUGACUUACGCCUUACAUUCGACAACCUCCGAACAUAUGACAUAUGGCUCAAUCCGAAAAAAUGCGUUUUCGGUGUUCCGACCGGAAAGCUGCUCGGAUUCAUUGUUUCCAAUAGAGGAAUCGAAGCAAAUCCGGCCAAAAUCCGAGCCCUGUCACAAUUGGCAAUGCCAACAGACUUAAAAAAAGUCCAAAAGAUAGCGGGGUACGUGGCAGCAUUGAGCCGUUUCAUCUCCAGAUUAGGAGAAAAGGCACUGCCACUUUAUCGCCUGCUCCGACGCACCGACCACUUUGAGUGGGCGGAUGCGGCAACAACCGGAUUGGAAGAAAUAAAAACCUUGUUAGCAAACAACCCAAUCCUUGCCGCACCAAACGUCGGCGAGUCUAUGUUGCUCUACAUAUCUGCAACUCACCAGGUGGUGAGCGCUGUGCUCGUCGUCGAACGAGAGGAAGAGGGACAUAAAUUCCCACUCCAAAAACUAGUGUAUUAUGUAUCGGCGGUCCUUACACCAUGCAAAUCCCGAUACCCACACUAUCAAAAGAUAGCCUAUGCGGUCUUCAUGGCAUCUCAGAAGCUGCGGCACUACUUUCAAGAGUGCUCGAUCACGGUGGCUUCCGAAGUUCCACUCAACGACAUCAUAAACAACCGAGACACCACCGGCCGCAUUGCCAAAUGGGCUAUCGAACUCUUGCCAUUUGAAAUAACAUACAAGCCACGCCGAGCUAUUAAAUCUCAGGUGUUGGCUGACUUCGUCGCCGAAUGGACAGAAACCAAACUCCCUAAAGAGUACAACACAUACUCCAACUGGGUGAUGUAUUUUGACGGCUCUAAGAUGUUAGCCAGACUGGGGGCUGGUGUCAUCCUAACAUCCCCUCUAGGGGACACAGUCCGCUACGUAUUGCAGAUCAUGUAUACAGACUCCAAUAACACGGCCGAAUAUGAAGCUCUACUACAUGGACUUCGGAUGGCCGUUUCUAUGGGCAUACAACGCCUCGAGGUGCGAGGGGAUUCGGACCUCGCUAUAUCUCAAAUCAAUGGAGAAUUCGAUGCAAAAGAUCCGAAGAUGGCGGCCUACCGCAACGCCGUACUCAAAAUAUCGGCCCGGUUCGAGGGGGUUGAAUUUCACCAUGUGGCUCGAGACAGUAAUCAGGCAGCGGACAUCCUUGCUCGCAUGGGCGCUAAACGCGACCCCGUCCCGCCUAACACCUUUGUGGAAAGGCUUUUCAAGCCAUCCGUGGUAUGGCAGGACGAUAGUGGAAAUACCAGUCCGGCGCCGAUCACACCCCCGGAUGCCGAACACGAUUCGGAUACCAUCGGGGGCUCGGGCACCGAACCAAUGCCUUCCGCCCACGUAAUCAUGGCAGUAAUUGCCCCAUGGACCGAACCCUUCCUGGCCUACCUUAAUAGGCGGGAGCUCCCUGAUGACCAGAAUGAGGCCCGUCGCAUAGUUCAAUGUUCGAAAGCCUGCAAAGUUCAUGAAGGAGAACUCUACAAGAAAAGUACUACUAGAGUCCUUCAAAGAUGUAUCUCCAAAGUGGAGGGACGGCAGCUCUUGGCCGAAAUACACGCUAGUCUUGGCGGCCAUCACGCUGCAGCUCGGGCCCUUGUAAGUAAGGCCUUCCGUACAGGUUUCUUUUGGCCCACGGCCCGAGCAGAUGCACAGGACCUCGUACAGCGCUGUGUUGGAUGCCAGCUUUUUGCCAAUCAAAGCCAUAUGCCGCCCACUGCCCUACGAACAAUCCCCAUUACUUGGCCUUUCAUGGUCUGGGGGCUGGACAUGGUCGGACCUGUUAAAGGGGGAAGCCAUAAGAAGAAAUAUUUACUGGUUAUGGUGGAUAAAUUCACUAAGUGGAUAGAGGCCAAAUCAGUAAAAACGGCUGAAGCCGGACCGGUGAUAGAUUUUAUCUCCAGCGUUGUACACCGUUAUGGUGUCCCACAUAGCAUUAUUACUGACAACGGCUCUAAUUUCACAGCCGAUGAGGUAAACAAUUGGUGUGCUAAUCUAGGUAUCAAACUCGAUUAUGCCUCCGUAUAUCACCCUCAAACAAACGGUCAGGUUGAACGAGCCAGUGGCUUGAUAAUGAGUGGCAUCAAACCCAGACUAGUGCGAUCCCUAAAGGAAUCGGAUAAACACUGGGUCGAGGAGCUCGACUCCGUACUUUGGGGGCUGCGAACCACGCCCAACCGCACGACCGGAUACACAUUGUUCUUCAUGGUGUACGGCGCAGAGGCUGUCUUGCCCUGUGACAUUAUUCAUGACUCACCUCGAGUGCGCAUGUAUGAGGAUAGAGAGGCCGAGCUCGAUCGGCAGGACGACUUAGAUGGCCUGCUGGAGGAGCGCCAUGUCGCAAAAGCCCGUUCCGCAUUCUACCAACAGCAGGCUCGAACAUACCAAAGCAGAGAAGUGUGGGCGAAGACAUAUAAUGUCAGUGAACUCGUUCUACGCCUACCAGAGAAGAAAAAGUACAAGCUCAAGCCCAAAUGGGAGGGUCCCUUCAUUAUAGAUGAAUUUCUCACUGGAGGAGCCUAUCGCCUUCGCAAUCCAUCAGAUAAUCGCUUAGAGCCGAACCCAUGGAACGCUGCUCGGCUCUGAAGAUUCUACGCCUAAGUCCGGACAUACACCUUUGUGCGUCCCUUUUUUCUCCUUUUCAAUUUUUCCUUUUUUUUCCUUUUUAUACGAUUUCUAGCAUGUGUUCGAGUAAGCCGCACACUUGAGGGGUAUACAUCCUUAAAUGUACACACCCCACCAUAACUGGGGGCUUCCCUCAAUAGAAGCUUAUUAUUAUUCCGAGCAUAAAUCUCACCAUAUAUAUGUGUUGUUUGCUCAUAUACGUCUUGUCUUCGCCAUUAUAUGCACCUCUAUGACUUCAGUUUUUGCCAAGCUGGGUUGCCUGGCUCGUGUGCUUAUGCCCUACGUUCCCGCUUGUUCGGCUAGGGCAUAAAGGGAGCACCUCUGUGAUUGUUACAACCGGGUCAUCCGGACAUGUACCUCAGAUGGGUGAAGCCGAAAGCUAGCGUUCUUAAGGGAAUAAUUGGUCGGCAGACAAACGACGAACUACCUUCGUUGCAAUAUAAACUCUCAAAGUACAAAAACUCCUGUGAUUCUUUCGCAUCACGGCUUAGGCAUGCAUAAAUAAUGCAUGCUGACCCAGGGAGAGGAACCCUUAACGGAACUAUUCUCGCUGGAAGAUGUUUCUUACAUUAAAAAGUAAUAUAACAUAACUCCCCGAAUACAGUUUGUCUGUUCAAGCACUAUGACCGGAUUGCCUGGUUUCCGAACAUACUUGGUGUUUCCCACAUGUAUGGUAUUCGGAAAAACUCCAACCCUUGGGUUUCGGAGGGUGAAGUGGAAGGUCUGCCAUGACAAUCUUUUAAAUUUCGGUCGGAGAUAAGUUUGAUGAUAAAGUAUAUUGUUACAUGGAAUCAAACGCCUACUCUUUAUCUAUAUCAUCUAUCAGGCUGUCUAGUUUACAGUCCUGUUGUGAAAAUUUGGCGGCUGUCUUUACUUGGUCGUACACCAAGCUAACCGGAAUUUCUUGUCCGUCUGGUCCCGAGGUCCGACCCGGGCCAUAUGAUUCAGAUCAAGUCCGGUAUACGGUGUUUUCACCAUGGCCCAGGCUUCUCGUGUACCUUCUCGACAUGCUGAUGCCUUCCAUAGCUCAAAAUGAAGACGAGCUCCCUUGAAUAACUUCACGAGCUCCUCCAUAAUUUCUGGAGGAGAAUCGGAUGGCCAUAAAGCCUUCGCCAUGUUCCUCAUUGCUUUCCGAGCUCGCUCGUGCACUUUGGAUAGCUCUUGCAGCAAGUCGCCUUGAAAUCUGGACACUUCUCCCUCGGGACGCCCAGUUAACAAACCUACAAGAACAAUCUCGUAAACCUUUCCAUGAGGGGACCGUAUGAAAGUAAGGUUAAAGGACAUACUGAAUAUGCCGCCUUUUAGCUUUCUAUUCUCCUUCAAGGCAUCCGACAGCUGGGCUCGUAUGUCCUUUAGCUCUUCGGCUUGCUUGAUGUUUGCAUCAUGUAGCUUGUUCUUCUCAUUAAUGGUCCGUGUUAAUACACGUUGACUAGAGGCUUCUUGCCUUUCGACAUGUUGUUUGUCCGCCCGAGCAACCUUCAGCCUCUCCUCUAACUAAUCUACCGAUCCUGCAGAUGUAAACAAAACAAUGCAUAUUUAAAAAUCAUUGUUGGCGCAGAAUCAUAUUUUACGGACACUGUUGUGCUUACCCUCAGGUGCCUUCUGGGAUUUCUUCAAAUUUUCUAGUUCGGCGGUGACAACAGUUAGCUUGGUCCGACAUUCUUCAAGCUCCUUGGACAGCGUGUUAUUUUUCGCCGUAAGUACCUGAUGAUAUAACGACCCUUAAAUCAGUUGGGCCAACUGCUUCAAGUCUCGGGGGCUACUGGCACAUGAUCAUUGAAUCUACUCAAAGUUUUUACCUGCAUAUCCUUUGAAAGCUGGUGAGUGGCUCCGGCAAGUCCAUCCCGAGCAGCUCGGAUAUAUGCAUUUGCAGAGCUGAGUGCGUUGAACGCCUCUUUUGUGAAACUUGGGUCGCGCAUGGCCUCUUUCCGCCGCCGGUGAUUCAUCGCGCUCUCCGCUUCGAAAUUGGUGACGGAUACAUUAUCUGAAUCCUCUUGGAGAUGACAAUCCGGCAUUGUGCCCGUAUCAACCCUAGCCCUUGUGGCAGGGUCUGAGGCCGGAUUGGUCGAUGCAUGGCCGGCGAGGUCCCCAGAUAUAGUCCAGCGUAUGCUCUUCCUAAAAAAUGGCAUAGCGUAAAACGUCACAAUUCGGUCUAUCCGCCGAGUGCAUGUUAAAAACUAUACCUCUUUGGUGAAGGCGGGGGCCCGGUAGUAUCACCGUUUGCCUUUCUUUUCAAAGACUCGCCCUGCGCGGGCGUCGCCUUCUUAGAGGACGCCUCUGAUACAGCUCGGCGAGACGAGCGCCUCCCCUUCGGAGCAUAAGACAAUGCGGUGGGUGAGGCGCAAUGGGAAAACUCUUUUGGAGGAGACGUCUCCUGGGUACUUACGUGGGAGGAGGGGAGAAGGCCGGGGUAAUCGGCUAUAAUGGCCACUUCCGUGCCGUCGUAGCUCGCCUGAUAAAAAGACUCCCUCCUUAAGUUCUAUAAAUAUAUCCGGAUCUUCUUCAUAUUUGGGAUCCAGGUCUCGAACAUGGUCCUCUAGCUGCGGAGCGGGGCUGUAGACCGCCUCGACGACCUUUCUCCGCUCCUAUUUGAUAGAGGCGAGGGUAUCCCAAUCUUUCGAUGAUAUGAUAACUAUCGAUUUGGUGGAGACGACUUUGACGAUCCGACUACAAACGUGCACAACGUUGCGCCUUAGCAAUCGCUAAACCAAUCUCCUGAGGUUACUGACAAUGCCGGAAGCACGGUCAGCCUGACCACGAAGGUCUAUUCCUGCAAGCAAUCGAAGAACGAGCAAGAAUAUGAUAAUGCAAUCUGAAUAUUGUGAAUAUAUAUGAAGUAUUGAUAAUGAUGGGGAUCCGUAAGCGGUCUUGGUCUGGUCCUUGGACACAAACGAAGUACACGAAGUUGCAAUGGCUAACUUUUAACUAAACAAAUCCCAAGGAAAAAACUAGUAGAUGGAUUUACUUAUAUAGGAGCAAGGGGUGGCGGCCAAGGAGGUGGGAGGACGUCCCAAGGCAGCCUAAAACUAAUCCUAGGUCGUACAAGGCCAAUGGGCCCAAGUGGAGGUGAUGCAACACCUUUGGACUUGUAGUUUGACUCGGAUUCUGCUGCAGCAUCAGAUUGUUUCGUCCAUAACUCAAUGCUCCAGACGAAUUUGAAGGUGAAUCCAACUGGGGUGCAAAGAGCACGGAAUCUAGUUUCCAACAAAAAAGAAUCACCCAAUUCGGAGUCCGUAUGAAAGAGCUAUUUCCGUUUUGAGUGAGGUGUCUGUGCAGUCCGAAUCUGAAUCCAGAACGUGAGAGACUUGAACUCUAUCUUCUCUUGGCCCAAAAGUGAAGUGAGAGGACUUUUUGAACAGCACCUAAACUUCUCUUUUUCCCUUAUCUUCAUAUGUUGAUUGUACAAAUGUUCCAUACACCUGCAAUUAAACAUGACACAAAAUUUUGUGAAGUAUCUUUGUCCUGGAUGACAUAAAUAAAUUAUUGCAUAGUUUGCAUUGGAAAUCACCUCACAAAUAUACAUGUAUGCAAUAUUUUUGGUUGUAUCCAAGGUAGUCAUGUCCUCAUCACUAUUAAAAGUAGCCGGAUUAAAUUCGACUAGCAUAACUCUGGAAAAAAGUUGAGUGAGACCAAUAAUAAAAAAACUCACCCAGUCGAUGGGGUUAUACAUGGAAAAACCUUCCCGACAUUUCAAGCGAGUGAAGUCUUCCUUCUCCCCUUUGUAAAGGUCAAGUAAGAUGGUGGCCAGGGCGGCAAAAUUGUCUGGACCCUUGCGUAGACAACGGGAUGCAUCGUCCUCCCCGUUGUAAUUCCACAUAGGAAAACCUCUAGAUUGGAGCGGUUGAACGCAUCGCGUUAUUGAAAUCGCCAUUACCUCGAUUAUAGACAGCCCGGAGUUGGCAAGUACUCUGAUCUUGCUUGCUAACCUCGCAACCGCCGCACUGUCUUCUUCCUCGAGGCUUCGGGGACGCCAGCUGGCGCGCUUCUUUAAAGGAGCAUUGGAGAAUCCGGGAAGACCGCGCCGGAUUGGGUCCGGAAGAAUGACAUCUUCAAUAUAAAACCAUUCCGGGGGCCACUCUUCGGAUGCCUUCUUCAGAGUGCCGGACAGGUAUCCUGUCCCGGCUAUACGCCCUACUUCGGCGCCGCCCACCUCGAAUAUAUAUCCCUUUUGGGAGCGGGGGACGAGGCCGAAAAAUUUCCGCCAUAGCUCGAAAUGAGCCUCACAGUCUAGGAACAUCUCGCAAAGAGCAACGAAGCCCGCGAUAUGCAGGAUGGAGCCUGGCGUCAGAUUGUGCAGUUGGAGGCCGUAAUACUCCAGGAGACCUCUGAGGAAAGGGUGGAUAGGGAAUCCUACGCCUCUCAAAAGGAAGGAAAUGAAGCACACCCGCUCCUCUUUAGAAGGAUUGGGGAAAUUCUCCGCCAGGGCUUCACCAUUGAGAGAAGUUAAUCCAGCCCGAACGGAGACUAGAUCCGCGGGAGGAAGAUAUCCCUGCGUCUGAAGUUUAUUUAGAUGGGCGCGGGACACCGAACAACUUUCCCAGUCGCCUUUUUGAGGGCCGUGGGGACGUGAGGAAGAGCUAGGAGCGCCAGCCAUGUUUGGACGAUUUCCUAUGGCGAGUUCUAAGGAUUUCCGCGUGGUGGGGAAUGGCAUCUGAGAUCUAAGCUCCUUAAAUAGACGCCUUCCCUGCAUGGUCAAGGGGUUAUAUGUAAAAAAACACCUAGACCGUUCGCAUUCGUUUGACACGUGGAAGCCAAGGCGAUGGCAGCAAAGAAUCAAUAGAAUAUGAUAUUUAAUGAGGAGCCGAACUAUCGUCAAUCCGAAGUAUAAUGGAGAACCCACCUUGCAAAGCCGAAGACAUAAAGCCGGAUACUACAUCGUCAUUGAAGGCAAGUUCGGGGGCUAUUGAGGUAGUCCUGGAUUAAGGGGUCCUCGGAUGGUCGGGCUAUGUGACAUGGGCGGGACUGAUGGGCCGUGAAGAUACAAGAUAGAAGGCCUUCCCCCAUGUCCGGAUGGGACUCUCCUUUGCGUAGACGGCAAGUUUGGCGAACGGAUGUGUAGUUUCCUUUCUCUGUAAACUGACUCUGUAUAACCCUGGCCCCCUCCGGUGUCUAUAUAAACUGGAGGGUUAGUCCGUAGAGGCUAGGACAAAUCAUACAGGCUAGACAUCUAGGGUUUAGCCAUUACGAUCUCGAGGUAGAUCAACUCUUGUAACCCCUAUACUCAUCAAAGUCAAUCAAGCAGGAAGUACGGUAUUACCUCCAUCAAGAGGGCCCGAACCUGGGUAAACAUCGUGUCCCCCGUCUCCUGUUACCUUCGAUCCUCAGACGCAUAGUUCGGGACCCCCUACCCGAGAUCAGCCGGUUUUGACACCGACAACACUCUUCCAAACCCACUUUCAAUAUUACAGCAAACAUAUUCAUCAUGAGGCUUAAAUAAAUUUUCAAGAUCAUAAGAAGCAUUAUCACCCCAAUCAUGAUCAUUGCAAUAAGUAGUGUACAUAGCAAAACUAGCAUCCCCAAGCUUAGGGUUUUGCAUAUUAUUAGCACAAUUGACAUUAAUAGAAUUUAUUAUAACAUCAUUGCAAUCAUGCUUUUCAUUAAAGGAGCUAUCGUGAAUCACUUCAUAAAUUUCAUCACAAUUUUCAGAUUCACGAAUUUCAAGCAAAACUUCAUAAAGAUAAUCUAGUGCACUCAACUCACUAGCAAUUGGUUCAUCAUAAUUGGAUCUCUUAAAAAGAUUAGCAAGUGGAUGGGAUCCAUAAACUCUUUGGUUUCUGAUUUUCAAUGAAUACACAAUUAUUCCAACCAAACAAGCAAACAAGCCAAGUAAGACAUAAAGGCAAAGGAAAAGACGAAUGAAGGAAGGGCGAAUAAAAAGACAAAUAUUUUCAAAAAUCAUUUUAGAACCGAGGGAGAGGAAAACGGGAGGCAAAUGGCGAAUAAUGUAAUGCAAGAGAUGAGAGUUCAUGACGGGUACUUGGUAGGCUUGGUGUAGAUCUCCCCGGCAACGGCGCCCGAUAUUCUUCCUACUACUUCUUGAGCUUGAGUUGGUUUUUCCCUUGAAGAGAAAGGGUGAUGCAACAAAGUAGAGAUAAGUAUUUCCCUCAGUUAAGAACCAAGGUAUCAAUCCAGUAGGAGAAGAACGCACAAAUCACCAAUACCUACACAAACAAUCAAACACUUGCACCAAACGCGAUAAAGGGGUUGCCAAUCCCUUCACGGUCACUUGCAAAGGUGAGAUCUGAUAAAGAUAGAUAAAUUAAACUAAACAAAAGAUAAAAUAUUUUUGGGUUUUUUUGGUUUAUAGAUCUAAAAAUAAAAGAUUGCAAAAUAGUAGAUCGGAAACUAAUAUGAUGGAAAAUAGACCAGGGGGCCAUAGGUUUCACUAGAGGCUUCUCUCAUGAUAGCAAAUAAUACGGUGGGUGAACAAAUUACCGUCGAGCAGUUGAUAGAAAAGCGCAAAGUUAUGACGAUAUCCAAGGCAAUGAUUAUGUAAUAUAGGCAUCACGUUCGUGUCAAGUAGACCGACUCCUGCCUGCAUCUACUACUAUUCCUCCACACAUCGACCGACUCCUGCCUGCAUCUAGAGUAUUAAGUUCAUAAAGAACAGAGUAACGCUUUAAGUAAGAUGACAUGAUGUAGAGGAAUAAACUCAAGCAAUAUGAUGUAAACCACAUCUUUUUAUCCUCGAUGGCAACAAUACAAUACGUGCCUCGCGACCCCUACUUUGUCACUGGGUGAGGACACCGCAAGAUUGAACCCAAAGCUAAGCACUUCACCCAUUGCAAGAAAAACCAAUCUAGUUGGCCAAACCAAAUCGAUAAUUUGAAGGAAUUACAAAGAUAUCAAAUCAUGCAUGUUAGAAUUCAGAGAAUAUUCAAAUAAUAUUCAUAGAUAAGAUGAUCAUAAAUCCACAACUCAUCGGAUCUCGACAAACACACCGCAAAAGAAGAUUACAUCGGAUAGAUCUCCAAGAACAUCGAGGAGAACAUGGUAUUGAGAAUCAAAGAGAGAGAAGAAGCCAUCUAGCUACUAGCUAUGGACCCGUAGGUCUGAGGUCAACUACUCACGCUUCAUCGGAAGGGCAAUAGAGUUCAUGUAGAUGCCCUCCGUGAUCGAAUCCCCCUCCGGCAGGAUGCUGGAAAAGGCCCCAAGAUGGGAUCUCAUGGGAACAGAAGGUUGCUGUGGUGGAAAAGUGUUUUCGUGGAUGCCUCUGGUGGUUUGGGAAUAUAUGUGAAUAUAUAGGAGGCAGAACUAGGUCAGGGGGUCACCGAUGGGUCGACAAGGUAGGGGGGCGCACCCUACCCCCUUGUCGCCGCCUCGUGGCUCUUCUGACUUGAACUCCAAGUCUCCGGGGUGUCUUCUGGUCCAAGAAAAAUCACCGCGAAGGUUUUAUUCCAUUUGGACUCUGUUUGGUAUUCCUUUUCUGCGAAGCUCAAAAACAAGGAAAAAGCAGAAACUGUCACUGGGCUCUAGGUUAAUAAGUUAGUCCCAAAAAUAAUAUAAAAUAGCAUAUUAAUGCAUAUAAAACACCCAAAACAGAUAAUAUAAUAGCAUGGAACGAUAAAAAAUUAUAGAUACGUUGGAGACGUAUCAGGAAACAUUUGCACUAAAAAGAACAGAAGAUUUGUCCCAGUUCGGGGUCUGGGCAGAGCGGCUGCAGAAAUGGUUAAUAAGAUGGACCAUCUGAAUCGCUUCUGGCACCGUGGCCUUGCCACAGACUAACAAAUCAUCGGCAAAGAGCAUGGAGUGAAUUGGGGGGCAGUUUGGACCGAGAGAGAUACCAGACAAGCGAUUUUGAAUCAUGGACUGAUGCAAACUUAAGGAAAGCUCAUUAAUAGCAAGAACAAAAGAUAUGGAGAUAAAGGACAUCCCUGUCUAAUACAUCUGUUACUACUAAAAUGCGCAAAGGGUUGACCAUUGAUGAAGACAGAAAAUUUCGGAGAAGAGAUACAAGCAUAGACCAAAUUUAUGAAAUGACCAUGCAACCCUUUACGAGCAAGAGCUGAGACAAUAAAGUUCCAUUCAAGGCGAUCAAAAGCUUUAGCAAGGUCAAUUUUGAGCAAGAAAGCUUCAUGUUUAAAAAAUUUAAGGGCAAAAGGAUGAGUGAUUUCUUGGGCUAGAAUGAUAUUGUUGGAUAUACGUCUACCUUCAAUGAACGCUUGUUGAGAUGGAUCGAUAUAGUCAGGGAGGUGAGAUUUAAUUCUAUUAGCCAAGGUUUUGGAAAUGAUCUUAUAGAUGACAUUGCAAAGGCUUAUCGGUCUAUAGUCAGAAGGAAUUUGUGGAACUAACUUUUUAGGAAUCAAUGCAAUGUGAGUAUCACUAAUGUGAGAUGGCAUUAUACCUGUUUGGUAGAAGUUUUUCACCAUAGCAGCGACAUCAUCACCAAUCCAGCUCCAAGUGGCAAUGUAGAACUCAACAUUGAACCCAUCAGGUCUAGGAGAGGCAUUUAGCUUCAUGUCCUUUAAAGUGUUUAGAAUUUCCUCCUUGUUCGGGAUACUGCAGGUGUAGUCUUGGCUAUCAAUUGGAGGGCUGGAAUCUAGAAAAGGCCUGCCUACAUUCACAUUAGGAGAAGCAAAUAUAUACCGAAAAUAAUUUACAAAUGUAUUUGCAAUGGCCCGCGGGUUAAAAUGAAUAUUCUCAUUCUCAUCUUUUAUGGAUACAAGGGUAUUCUUCUUUCUUCUUCUGAGCAAUGCAUGGUGGAAAAUUUUAGUAUUUUUGUCUCCUUUAGAAGCAAAGUUUUUCUUUGCCCUUUGUCUGUAAAACUCAGUAAGCUUUGACAUAUUUUGUUCAUACCUUACAAUGAGAGCUGGUUCCAUUUGAUGGUCCUGCAUGGAUAAUGGUUGCAUUUUUUUGAAACGAGGCAAAAGACUUGCCAUUUCAUUGAUUAAGAAGAAGUGAGAAUUGCCCGGUUAAUUGACGGAAAACCGGGCUAAAAUCGAUACAACCCAACCCAUAAAAUGGGCACCACCGACCAACCUAGCCAACAUGCCAACAUAUGGCCACACCGGCGAACCACCGACAGCUCCGACUCGACGACGAGCUUCGCAAGGGGGAAUAUGCAAGACUUGCGCUGACCGUGCCCUCCGCAAACGACCACUGAAAGCCUGUCAUCAUCACUCGUUCCACGCAGCUUCGACUUCAAAGCAACCAAGCAACCACAUAAAAGCACCUCGGACACGUCGAGAAGAUCCGACUACUGAAGCCCGAGCAGCGACCCGAGCUCCACUCGCCACCAUCAUCGUUGCCAAACCGAAAUUAGCGCCCCUAAAAAUGGCCGCCUCAGCAAACCACGCGGCGAAGAUGCCGCCAUCCACCGCUCUCCAGGUUGUAGCCGGCUUCGAGAUGAUGCCUCCAAGGAGGAACAAGACGUGAGGUCACCUUCAUCGCCCGAUCCCGCGGAUCUGAGGUUUCCCUCCGGAGCCAAGGCUGCGGGGAGAGGGAAGGAGCACCACACAACAGCGACGCUUCCAAGGAAGAGCACGACGCCUGCGGACGUCGCCGUCGCCGGAUCCAGCAAGGCCGAAGAAAGGAUUUCUCCCGGUGACGCCCUACCAACAAAUCCCCGUAUCGGCCGGCUGCAAACCACCACCCACCACCCACCGCAGAGCACCAAGGGAGCACCUCCCGACCACUCCCGCCCCUGUUGCUGAAGCUGGCGCCAAGCUGGCCGCGGGAUCCCUCGAUCCGCCACGCCCAUGCACGCACCGCCCCCUGGCCGAAGCCGCCACCACCAGAUCCUAGCCGCCGCCCGACAACUCUAGCCCUCCACCGUAGAUGCGUGGAGUCCCCAUCACCACACCAGAUCUGGAAUGAGCCUGGGACGAGCCCAAGGUCGCCAAGUCCAGCAACCACCGCCCGGGUCGCAGAGGAGCCACCACGAAGCACUGGACCACCUCGCUAUCGCAGGGGACGGCCUCGCCGACGGACAAAGCACGUCACCUGCAAGCACGCGCCGUAGCCGACCAGGCGCCGCCGCACGUAGCCACGCCAAGCCGCCCAACCGCCGCACCCUAGCCACGCCAAGUCGCCUCAGCACCCGCCGGAGCAGCACCCAAGGUCAGCCGGCGAGCCAAGGCCAGCCAUCGCGGCGAGCAGCUCCGCCGCACGCAACCACCGAGAGGGCCACACACGCGCGCGAACGAGAUCCCGUCGCCGUCGGCCGCCCACGGGCUUUGCUCGGAGACGUGUGCCGGCGGCGGCGAGGCGAGGAGGAGGGGGGGCGGCGGCGGCUGCGGGUAGGGUUUCUGCUCGAGCCGCCCUGGGAGCGACCUGUGGGGGAUGAGCAACGGUUGCAUUUGAAUACGGAAUCAAUAACGCCCGAACGUCAGAUUUUUAGACGCCCAGCCCGAACGCUGUUUCUACCGUACGAUUUUCUGACACGAAUCACGGAACAAGCCACCAGCCACGUCACUUUUUUUCUCGUUCGGAAAGAACACGCGUCGUCGUGAAUGCCCUGGCUUCUCUUAUCCUUUCCCCCUUUUCCCCAACGAGUCUCUCAGUCUAUCCACUCCCUCCUCCACUCUGCCGCUCACUUUUCUCCCCUCCAUCUCGAGCUCGUGCGGGGCUGCCCCGGUGGCGUAUUCAGAGACCACGGCGGAGGAGCUCGUGCAGGUCGUCGCGCCGGCGACGUACUCGGAAGCCGCGGCGGACUGGCGGAGGAGCUGCUCCUGGAGCUCGAGCGUGGCGCUCCCAAGCGCUCGUGCUCGGGCGGCUCCGGCGAGGGCCGUGCUGGAGGUCAUGGCGGCUGGGGCGGCUAGGGUCGCGGAGCCGAGGAAGCCGGAGGCGACAUCGUCGGGCUGGCAUGGGGCGACCACGCCGCCACGUUCCUCAUGCUGGAGACGAUGGCAACCACACCGCCGUGUUCCUCAUGCUGCUGGUCGCCAAUGCAACGGUACUUGCAACUCCGUCCCUACAUCACACACCUACUGACUGAAUUUUCUGCAGAUGUUCAGUUUUGUUGUUGUCCUAUUGAACUAGCUUUGUUUAAGUUGCCAUCAUGUAGUUGAA
rnacentral:lncRNA from 1 species